UGGGGAAUUUUGGACAAUGGGCGAAAGCCUGAUCCAGCAAUGCCGCGUGUGUGAAGAAGGCCUUCGGGUUGUAAAGCACUUUUGUCCGGAAAGAAAACGCCGUGGUUAAUACCCGUGGCGGAUGACGGUACCGGAAGAAUAAGCACCGGCUAACUACGUGCCAGCAGCCGCGGUAAUACGUAGGGUGCAAGCGUUAAUCGGAAUUACUGGGCGUAAAGCGUGCGCAGGCGGUCCGCUAAGACAGAUGUGAAAUCCCCGGGCUUAACCUGGGAACUGCAUUUGUGACUGGCGGGCUAGAGUAUGGCAGAGGGGGGUAGAAUUCCACGUGUAACAGUGAAAUGCGUAGAGAUGUGGAGGAAUACCGAUGGCGAAGGCAGCCCCCUGGGCCAAUACUGACGCUCAUGCACGAAAGCGUGGGGAGCAAACAGG
rnacentral:rRNA from 1 species